AGAUGUUAAAAGCAAGAGACAUGGGAGAUAAUCAUUCCCUUGAGAUUUUAUAACUCAAACCAACUUUGGAGUUGUCUUGUCUGAUUUGGAGAGUCAUCAUUCUUGGUCUUUGCUCUUAGAGGCCACUGAUGAAGAGCAGGCGGUGACUGGGAUGAAUGCUGGCCAGAGAGGAGAAUCUUCUUUCCCCUAAACUGAUGAAGCAGUGGUUUUAAAGGAGGACGCUGCCCUGGAUGAUGUAGAAGAUGUCAGAUGCUGUGCUGAUGGGGCUUCUUCAUGAUUACAUCAGUUAUGCUAAAGAGUGCCAGAAUAGUUGGAAAAAAAACUAACUAAUUGUAAAUUUAUUGUAUGUGUUUUCGUAUAUUUUUAUACAAUAUAUACAAAUGAACAAAGUCCAAUUUGAUCUUAAGUUAUAUUCAUCAAAUGUUCAAUGCUUUGUUUAUGAACUCUGUAGCUGUUAAUGCCAUCCUUUUCUGCAUUUCUUCUAACAUGUUACUUUUUGACUUUUCUCUUGUUUUUAAUAAAUAUUUUCCUUUUGAUAAUUAUUAUUUGUGUGUAAAAGUGAUAUUUAAAAUGAACAACAUUUGUAGGUUUAAUGCCUAGCUCAAUUUGGGUUAAUUUUAAGUAGAAAUGCAUUG